rnacentral:rRNA from 1 species
AGGAUAAACGCUGGCGGCGUGCCUAACACAUGCAAGUCGAACGUCCUACGCGCAAGCGUAGGGAGUGGCGGACGGGUGAGUAACACGUGGGCAAUCUACCUUUCGGUGAGGAAUACCGGCGAGAAAUCGCCGACAAGACCGCAUACGCUCGGGCAACCGAGCAAAGUCGCAAGACGCCGGAGGAGGAGCCUGCGCCCGAUUAGCUAGUUGGUGAGGUAAGAGCUUACCAAGGCGACGAUCGGUAGCUGGUCUGAGAGGAUGAUCAGCCACACUGGGAUUGAGAACGGCCCAGACUCCUACGGGGGGCAGCAGUGAGGAAUUUUCGUCAAUGGGGGCAACCCUGAACGAGCAACGCCGCGUGCAGGAUGACGCUUUUCGGAGUGUAAACUGCUUUUCUCGGGGAAGAGCAAGGACGGUACCCGAGGAAUCAGCCCCGGCUAACUACGCGCCAGCAGCCGC